CCUACGGGUGGCAGCAGUGGGGAAUAUUGCACAAUGGGGGCAACCCUGAUGCAGCGAAGCCGCGUGAGUGAAGAAGGAUCUAGGUAUGUAAAGCUCUAUCAGCAGGGAAGAAAGUGACGGUACCUGAAUAAGAAGCCCCGGCUAACUACGGGCCAGCAUCCGCGGGAAUACGGAAGGGGGAAGCGGUAUCCCGGUUUACGGGGGGGAAAGGGGGCGUAGACGGGUAUGCAAGGCUGAAGGGAAAGCCGAGGACUCAACCAUGAGACUGCGUUUGAAACUGUAAAACUGGAGUGCAGGAGAGGUAAGCGGAAUGCCUAGUGUAGCGGUGAAAUGCGUAGAUAUUACGAGGAACUCCAGUGGCGAAGGCGGCUUACCGGAGUGUAACUGACGUUGAAGCUCGAAGGCGUGGGGAGCAAACAGGAUUAGAUACCCGAGUAGUC
rnacentral:rRNA from 1 species